rnacentral:tRNA from 1 species
GGGUUUAUAGUUCAAUUGGUUAGAACACGGCGCUCAUAACGUCGCAAUUGUAGGUUCAAGUCCUACUAAGCCUA